rnacentral:rRNA from 1 species
GGCUGAAAUUCGCCUUCCAUGAAGCCGGAAUUGCUAGUAAUGGCAGGUCAGCAUACUGCCGUGAAUACGUUCCCGGGCCUUGUACACACCGCCCGUCACACCAUGAGAGUUGGGAAUACCCGAAGCCUGUGAGCUAACUUUUAGAGGCAGCAGUCGAAGGUAGAAUCAAUGAUUGGGGUGAAGUCGUAACAAGGUACC